UUCUUCUCCCCUCUCCGCCGUUAUGGCAGACCCUAACCCAUUCCUUCCUAUCUCCCAACCACUACACCCCACCGACACCUCUCUCCCAGAUGGCUCCCACCGCCCCCCCUCCAAGAAACUCCUCUUGGGGGUCUUUUCUGGUUUGUUCCUGGUUUUCUUGUUUCUCGCUUUAAUUAAUGAUCAGAAGGGGUCUCAGCAGAGCAUCCAUUCACAGGAAGAUGAAAAUGUAGCAUCAUUGGCUUCGUCGAAAGAAUCUGCGAAACCGGAGAUUUUGAGGCCUAUCUCCCGUGGCGUCUCGGCCGGUGUGUCUGAGAAAGCCAGCCUGAUAUCUAGCGGAUCGGAAUCGUCGACGGAUCAGUAUCCAUGGAACAACAGCAUGUUAUCAUGGCAAAGAACUGCUUUCCACUUCCAACCUGAAAAGAACUGGAUGAAUGAUCCUAAUGGUCCAUUGUAUUACAAGGGCUGGUACCAUUUCUUCUACCAGUACAAUCCACAUGCUGCGGUAUGGGGUGACAUAGUGUGGGGCCAUGCUGUAUCAAGGGAC
rnacentral:misc_RNA from 1 species